rnacentral:tRNA from 1 species
CCUGAUAGCAAGUACUGC